GAUGAACGCUGGCGGCGUGCCUAAUACAUGCAAGUCGAGCGAACAGACGAGGAGCUUGCUCCUCUGACGUUAGCGGCGGACGGGUGAGUAACACGUGGAUAACCUACCUAUAAGACUGGGAUAACUUCGGGAAACCGGAGCUAAUACCGGAUAAUAUAUUGAACCGCAUGGUUCAAUAGUGAAAGACGGUUUUGCUGUCACUUAUAGAUGGAUCCGCGCCGCAUUAGCUAGUUGGUAAGGUAACGGCUCACCAAGGCAACGAUGCGUAGCCGACCUGAGAGGGUGAUCGGCCACACGGGAACUGAGACACGGUCCAGACUCCUACGGGAGGCAGCAGUAGGGAAUCUUCCGCAAUGGGCGAAAGCCUGACGGAGCAACGCCGCGUGAGUGAUGAAGGUCUUCGGAUCGUAAAACUCUGUUAUUAGGGAAGAACAAAUGUGUAAGUAACUAUGCACGUCUUGACGGUACCUAAUCAGAAAGCCACGGCUAACUACGUG
rnacentral:rRNA from 1 species